UUAAAUUAGUAAGAGCGUACGGUGGAUGUCUUGGCAUAUAGAGCAGAAGAAGGACGCAGAUAACGGCGAAACGCCUCGGGGAGUCGUACACAGGCAACGAUCCGGGGGUAUCCGAAUGGGGAAACCCGAUAAAGUUGAAAAGCUUUAUCAUCCUUAAGCCAAUACAUAACUUAAGAGAAGGCAACCCAGGGAAUUGAAACAUCUUAGUACCUGGAGGAGAAGAAAAUAACAAUGAUUCCGAGAGUAGUGGCGAGCGAAAUCGGAGCAGCCCAAACCAGCAACGAGCUGGGGUAGUAGGACCACGACAAGUGAUUGAAAAGAGAUAGUCGAAUGGCAUUGAAAGGUCAGCCGCAGAAGGUGCAAGCCCUGUAGGCGAAAUCUCGAUUCACGCCAGUGGAAUCCUGAGUACGUCGGAGCACGUGAAACUCUGACGGAAUCAACCGGGACCAUCCGGUAAGGCUAAAUACUCCUAUAUGACCGAUAGUGAACCAGUACCAUGAGGGAAAGAUGAAAAGAACCGCGGGAGCGGAGUGAAAUAGAUCCUGAAACCGUAUGCUUACAAAAAGUCAGAGCACAUUAAGGUGUGAUGGCGUGCCUUUUGUAGAAUGAACCGGCGAGUUAUCUUUGCAUGCGAGGUUAAGCAGACAAUGCGGAGCCGUAGCGAAAGCGAAUCUUAAUAGGGUGGCAAGUAUGUAGAGAUAGACCCGAAGCCGUAGUGAUCUAGUCAUGAGCAGGUUGAAGGCUGGGUGAAUCCAGCUGGAGGACCGAACCGACCCCCGUUGAAAAGUUGGCGGAUGACUUGUGAUUAGCGGAGAAAUUCCAAUCGAACACGGCGAUAGCUGGUUCUCCCCGAAAUAGCUUUAGGGCUAGCGUUGAACGAAUCUACCCGGAGGUAGAGCACUGAAAUCAUGCGGGCGGCAUCUCGCCGUACCAAAUGAUAUCAAACUCCGAAUGCCGGGCAAGAAUAUUCAGCAGUCAGACUGUGGGUGAUAAGGUCCAUGGUCAAAAGGGAAACAGCCCAGAUCAUCAGAUAAGGUCCCAAAAUUUACGCUAAGUGGAAAAGGAUGUGGAGACGCGCAAACAGCUAGGAGGUUGGCUCAGAAGCAGCCAUCCUUCAAAGAGUGCGUAACAGCUCACUAGUCGAGUAUCUCUGCGCCGAAAAUUAACCGGGGCUAAGCGUAAUACCGAAUCUAUGGAUUUAUACUUAGGUAUAAGUGGUAGGGGAGCGUUCCAUACAGCAUUGAAGGUAUACCGUAAGGAGUGCUGGAGCGUAUGGAAGUGAGAAUGCCGGUGUGAGUAGCGAGAUGUGGGUGAGAAUCCCACACACCGAAAAACCAAGGUUUCCAGGGGAAGGUUCGUCCGCCCUGGGUAAGUCGGGACCUAAGGCGAGGCCGAAAGGCGUAGUCGAUGGACAGCAGGUUGAUAUUCCUGCACCCGCGAGUAAAGUGAUGGAGUGACAGAUAGGGUUAACCCAAGUCCUGAAUGGAUUGGGCAAGGCAAGCAGGAGAGUGGCGUAGGCAAAUCCGCGCUAGAUACUCAAAGGCUUGACUCAAGCGAACGCGCGAGCAAGUAGUGAAGAGGGUGAUACCAGGUCUCAAGAAAAGCUUCUAGCGAUAAUUUACUAGCGGCCCGUACCAAAACCGACACAGGUGGUUGAGGCGAGUAGCCUAAGGUGAGCGAGAGAACUGUUGCCAAGGAACUCGGCAAAUUGACCCCGUACGUUAGCAAUAAGGGGUGCUCGAAAGAGCCGCAGUGAAUAGGCCCUAGCAACUGUUUAACUAAAACAUAGCUCUCUGCGAAGUCGCAAGACGAAGUAUAGGGGGUGACACCUGCCCGGUGCUGGAAGGUCAAGGGGAUUUGUCAGACGCAAGUCGAAGCAUUGAACCGAAGCCCCAGUGAACGGCGGCCGUAACUAUAACGGUCCUAAGGUAGCGAAAUUCCUUGUCAGGUAAGUUCUGACCCGCACGAAAGGCGUAACGAUCUGGGCACUGUCUCAACAAUAGACUCGGUGAAAUUGUAGUACCGGUAAAGAU
rnacentral:rRNA from 1 species